UCUUAUGGAUGAACAAAGAAAAUGCUUUUCUGAGAUGAAAUCUACUCCUAGUGAAAAUGCUGUGAA
rnacentral:pre_miRNA from 1 species